rnacentral:misc_RNA from 1 species
GAUGAAGAACGCAGCGAAAUGCGAUAAGUAAUGCGAAUUGCAGAAUUCAGUGAGUCAUCGAAUCUUUGAACGCACAUUGCACCUCUCGGUAUUCCGGGAGGUAUGCCUGUUCGAGCGUCAUUUGUACCCUCAAGCUCUGCUUGGUGUUGGGUGUUUGUUCCGCCUCUGUGUGUGAACUCGCCUCAAAACAAUUGGCAGCCGGCGUACUUGUUUCGGAGCGCAGCACAUUUUGCGAUCCAGAUCAACGUACAGCGGCAUCCAAGAAGCCUUAUUUAACGCUCUUGACCUCGGAUCAGGUAGGGAUACCCGCUGAACUUAAGCAUAUCAAUAAGCGGAGGA